rnacentral:rRNA from 1 species
GACGAACGCUGGCGGCGUGCUUAACACAUGCAAGUCGAGCGGUAAGGCCCUUUCGGGGGUACGACGAGCGGCGAACGGGUGAGUAACACGUGGGUGACCUGCCCUCCAGCUCUGGGAUAAGCCUGGGAAACCGGGUCUAAUACUGGAUAUGACUCCAUGACGCAUGUUGUGGGGUGGAAAGCCUUGUGCGGCUGAGGAUGGGCCCGCGGCCUAUCAGCUUGUUGGUGGGGUGAUGGCCUACCAAGGCGACGACGGGUAGCCGGCCUGAGAGGGCGACCGGCCACACUGGGACUGAGACACGGCCCAGACUCCUACGGGAGGCAGCAGUGGGGAAUCUUGCGCAAUGGGCGAAAGCCUGACGCAGCGACGCCGCGUGAGGGAUGACGGCCUC